GGUCCGGUGGUGUAGUGGAUUAUCACAUCGUUCUUAUACUGAAAGUAUCACUGCUUUUGAUAUGCGAGGGUCCUGGGUUCGAUCCCCAGUCGGACCA
rnacentral:tRNA from 1 species